CUUGUUUGCAUCAUCUAUACCUACUGCACUGGCAUUCCUCUGCUCAGAACUGGAGCCCUAGACUCAUCCUCAUUCCAUCAAAUCAUUAAUGGCAGAAUGAGCAUGACACAAUAAGUACCUCCUCUAUAUCCUCAUGCUCCCCAGACUGGAUGUUCAGUAGCUCCCCACCCUAGUGGAGACUUUUUGUCUUCUCCUGACUUCCAUUGCUCCCCGCCUUCCCCCACCCCUCCAUUUAUCCCUCCUAAGAUGAACGUGGUAAUUUCUCCACUUUCCUCUUCUACUAACUAAUGCUACUCCACAGGACACGGUCCUUAUCACUCUCUUCUUCCCUACUGUUACCUCCUCCACACAAGCUAAUCUCCUCCUGUUUCAGGUAUUGCAGAUGAUACCCAUAUCUGUCUUUCUCUUGUGUUUUAAAGAUUUGACUGGGACUCAGAAGAUCAGGGCUUAUUUUCUGUCUGCCAUUGAAUUCCUGUGUUAUCUCAUGCAACUCAUUUACCCUCUCUUGUCCUCAGUUCUCUAUCUGCAAAAUGGGGAUGACAGUAGAAACUUAAUCUGUUUAGAUUGCAAUGCUUUGCGUGCACUCCCUUUCUCAUUAAAUAAAUGUAAAAUGCCUAAUACCAUGGGGAACUGAUGUGUGUUGGGGGCCUCUACAAUUAACAAUAACACCCACUGCAUCUUAUUUACCACAGCUUGUCACCUCUCCCUCUACAAUGAGCUGCACCCUCUCCUUGCCGUUCCCAUUGCUAAAACCCUGAUCCACUGUAGCAUACUCACAAUUCCUUUCUCCUCACUGGCUUCCUUAUAGUCCAUGCUCCUGUCCUGCUGCUGAAACAUGUUACUAUCACCAAACAAUUCUCUCUUGCCACAUCGCAUCCCUUCAUUGGCUUUCUCUUGCCUUUUUCCGGUUCAAGACUUUGCAGCUUCAAGGCUCAGAAUGACCUAUUACUAUUGAUGUUUUCUUAGGUAUUCUUUUAUCACCCAUUAAGCAAGAGUCUCUCUCCUCCUCUUUGCCUAUUGACUUCUAUCCCCUCUGUUCCUCAUGGUCAUUUUCUUAUCAUCUCAAGUCCACAUAAGACUAGAAAUAUUCCUGCAUUUAUUCUGUGACUUGUAAUUUUCUGCAGCAUCAAGUAAUGGGUUAUGUAUUGAGUAUACAGAAACUGAAUGCUGUUUUUUUGGGGUAAGAAUGGGGACGUAUUUUUAUGUCUGUUCAUAGUGUAUGACUUUAAAAGUCUUUUGUGAUUUCUUAGAGUUUAUCUACACUGCACCCUGUGGUAAAAGAGAGACUUAUAUUUGUCAUUAGAUUCAACAGACAUCACUCUGAUUAGCUCUAUUGAAUGUGUAUACACUUUUGCUGCAGAAUAGAGCUUACACUCAAAGGUAUCUCAACCACAAAUACUAAUGCAUCUCUCCAGCCCUCAGAUAUAUAUAUCUAGGAGUUGUCUUGCAUUGAGUCUACUGCCUAUCACACCAUCUUAACAUGUCCUUGUGCUCCACCAGCUAUAAGUACCCAUUUCCUCUUGUUUUAUCAUUUGUCUAUAAGCUCUUUUGAGUAGAAAUGGUCUUUAAGUUCUGUUUGUACAGUAUCCAGCUCAGUGGGGUCCUGAAACAUGAACAGAACUCCAAGGCACUAUAAUACAUACAUAAAAAAGAAGUACUUAAAUAGACCUUCUUCCUUAAAAUUGCCAUGCAUAUGAAUUCUGACAUGGGCAGAAUAAGGGCUGACUGCAGCCAUGCCUCUAAACACAUUAAGGCAGUUAAAAAUGAACUUUCAAUUCUACUCAUCAUAUUUUUGCCUUUUAAACACUGGCAAUUCUGUAUUACAUCAUUUAUCAGAUUAAGACAGACAAGCCAAUGUGCGUUUGAGGGACCAUUCUUAACUCUGAGCUAGAACUAUAUGAAUAUUGGUAUGCAUUAUGGGUGAUAAAUAUCUUUCAGCAAAACAGUAAGAUAUCAGUUUCAGAACAGAUUCUGUCUUUUCUUCUUCUCCUCCUCCCCAGUAACUUGCAUAUUCUGCUUCUUUUUCUUUAAAAAAACAAAGUAAACCCCUUUUUUUGCAACUCCUCUCUGCUGCAUUUUGCAUCCAUCUGUUCCCUAAAUUCUUUCUCUCAUAUCUUGAUGAUCUUAGUAUUUUUUUCUCCUUGUCCCAACCUUUACUGCUGUCUUAUACUUCCAGUCCCUAAGCUGUUCUUGGUCUCCAUCUUACACCUCCCACUCCUGUAUUCCCCUCAAAAUCCUUGAUUAAUUCUGGUAAGUCCUCCCCUCUUCCACACCUCAGAGUUUGUGAUCUUCAGCUUCCUCCAGCUCCCGAAACAACUGCAUAAAUUCACCUGCAUUUUCCACUUUUAUUCGUUUAGAUUUUGUCUGUGCUGUAUUCCUUUAUAAAACUGAUAAAUAUAAUUUUUAAAGAUUUUCAUCAACGAAAUUGUUCUUGCAGUUUCCUUUUUUGAUAAGCAAUAAUAUUUAUAAUGGACUUAUGUAUAUCAUGAAAUAUUAUAAAUAACUUGAUAUCUUCUGAAUUAUUACUUCCUAUAGGUCCAGUAGCAAUUCAAAUAAUGUGAACUUCCUUUCAUUUCUGGUGUUAUCUGUUUAACUUUGAAUUGUUGCUACUUGUAUGCUAGCCCAUCUUUUCCUCUCUCUCCUCUCUCCAGUAUAAUAUGCUUUAUAAACUAGAUUACUGAAAUAGAAAGAAAAUCUUCUUUCACAUUAAUAGAUUUAUGGAAGGCAUAUUUCUUAUUGUAAAUGUCACCUAUACUUUUCCUCUCAGCCACAAUCUAAAAAUGAAAUAAGGAAGGAACCAGUUGGAAGAAUAGACUUCAAAUCCAAGGUUUUUUAAAAACUGUUCUUUAAACUAUCCUAUUUUAAAGUCCAAAGCAGGAUUGCAUCAAGUCAAUCAUGCAGGAAGUUCAAAGCAAAAGGGAAAAGCUUCAAAGUUAAAAAAAUGUUCAUUGAUUAUCUGUCCUUUGUUUAAUUUUUCCUCUUGGAUUGUAAACCUCAGAUUUAUUUAGUGACAGGAUGAUAAAAGGGCUGGCUCUCUGGGUAGGCAAAAAGUCCUUCCCUUUUUUUCCUUUUUGAGACACAAAAAUAAGGAAAAAUCCCAUUGCAGAGCCAGGAUAUAUAUAAUACAGCAUUUGCUCCAGUUACUAUGAAUUACUUUCUGCUGGACCAUUAAAAAUGCAUUGUCUAAGUUCUCUUUCAAGUGUAGGAUCCUGAUGAUUGUUAAGCCCAUGAGUUCUUAGCUUUUGCUAUGCACAGUCCUGUUUCCUUAAUUAUCACUCCUCUACUGUACCACACUUUGCUUUUCAUUUAAUUGUUUGAGCAGACAGUGCCUCCUUCCCAAUUAGAGUGAAUGUAGCUGAAAGAGUGGUGCCGGGCAUUGUUGGACAAAGCUAAAGAGUUAGGUAUUGAUCAACAGCACUGAGGACAGGGGGACAGAGACAGAGUCUGAAAGGAAUGGUAAUACUGCUUAGACAAUUGUGAGUGGAAGCAAUAUGCCUGCUGCAUGACAGGACCAGGAAUAAUGCUUGCCCUGGGACAAGCACACCCACUUUCAGAAAAGUUGUAGCAAGCACUGCCUCUUGGUCAUCGUUAAUAGGUGUUGUGGACUGAGCCAGUGCAUGGAUUACAAACAGAUACAAUCCUUUAUUGUAAGUUCAGCUCUGAGGCCAUUAUUAGCAGCUCCCUUUCUGUCUAUGGAGAACACACCAGUAAAGAUGCCUUUUCCAUAAGAUAGUUGGCAAGGGCCGUGUGUUCUCUUCUGUCUCACUGCAGUCAUAUGUGCCUUUGAAAGGCCAACACCGGGAAAUGAGACUGGCCAGAUCUUGCCGUGGUGGAUGGACAGUGAUCUCUGAGCAGGCUUCAAUGAAAGUCAAUUUGCUUAGGGGCUCAGAGCAGUCACCCAUGACCUAUGUCAAUAUUCCUUCCUCUAUCUGAAUGGAUUUGAACCUACAUCCCUCACCUCUUGAGUGUCCUAAGUACCAGGCUUCAUGAUAUUCCUAAACUGUGCAUGUGGGGGAUACUCUCACACCCAGAAGGGGUAUGGGCCAAGUACCUCCCCUGAAUCAGAUUAAAAAGUAGAUUGGAAUUUGGGCCUCUUACAUUACAGAUAAAUGUCCUGGCUACCUGAUUCUAUGGUAGCAUGACACAGGUCCUUCUCAAUUCCUCCUGUUGGAGCUGACACACCUUGUAUAAAGUACAUAAUCACUGAGACAAAGCAAAUGAUUCUCUAGCCUGGUAGUUAAGAUACUCAGCUAGAAAGUGAGAUCCUCGGCUCCCAUCUCCAACAAGUGAAUGUUUAAUUAUUUAUACAAAGUGGAAUAGUCACAGCUAAAGGGAUUGAACCCACGCUCCCCACCCAGUGCAGAAUACUCUAUAGCCUCAUAUUAAUGGCACUCUUGUGGGUUUAAAUAUCUUUAGGUAAAGGAGAGACCUGAACCUGGGUGAGUACUCUAACAUUCAAGCUAUCCACUACAAAGACAAAUCUAUAUUCCCUCUCCACCCUCCUAUCUUCUUCAGGCUGAAACUAUACAGUCAAUUUGCUAAUAGUUUGGGGAUGACAAACACAGCAUUUUUGUUAAAUUAACUUACAAUUCUCUGAAAAAAAAUUGCUAAAUUCUAGUUGUUCUAUGUAACUGAUAACAACCUAGGGCCAUCAUACCAAAUACCAGUCCAGAAAAAAACCAAACAUUCUGCAAACAUUCUGCAAACUUUCCCAGGAAUGUUAAGACUGCUGCUUUAUCAUACUUUGCAAUGACUUUCUUUUCCUUGUGUAUCACAGUCAUGAUAGAAAUUAGCUGAGAAUUGGAUAUGGGCCUGAAAGAUAAAUCAAGACCAGAACUUCAACCCCAACAGCUUGCAGAUGUUUGGAUCUGGUGUCUGACUGAGGAUGGAGGCAGAGCACUGCACUGGAGUUACCAAGUAGAAGAAACGUCCAAACAUGCAUCUCUGUGAGACAUUAUUCAUACUCAAGGAGAGAACUCUCUCUCAAAUUCUGCUGGUCCUAAACCUGCCAAGUUCCAAAUGGCUGCUAGAAGAUGCAUAGGACCCCCUAUUGUUAAUUCAACUGCAUCUGUGCAGCUCCAAGAAAUGGCUCAACAGAAAGCACUAACUAAAGAAGAGUAAUGAAGCCAGCCUGCAAGAACACACUGAACAGCAGUGGGAAAUCUUAACCUGACGAUAAACUCAGAAGUACUCCUUACUGCUGCUCUAUAAAGAUAUGAUGUCUUUUCCCCUUUGCUUUAUCCUUUCUACCUGCUAUUGAUCCCAGCAUGUUUACAGGGCACUGGGGCACUCACUUGGCCAUCAGGCUGCAUAACCAUAUCCACCUGGAGCCCUGCUGCAAAGUCCUGGGGGUCAAGACCAAAGGCAAGUCAUACCUGAACUACCUGAUUGCUUUCUAUGAUGAGAUGACCAGCUCUGUGGACACGGGGAGACCAGUAGAUGUGGUAUACUUUGAUGUUAGCAAGGCUUUUGAUACGGUCUCCCACAACAUGCCUUAGCAGGCAAGCUAAGGAAGUAUGGGUUGGAUGAAUGGACUGUAAGGUGGAUAGAAAACUGGCCUGCGCAUCAGCUUGAUGUCUAGCUGGCAGCCAGUAUCAAGUGGAGUGUCCCAAGGGUUGGUCCUGGGGCUGUUUUAUUUUUUUGUUCAAUGUCUUCAUCAACAACCUGGAAGAUGGCAUAUACUGCACCCUCAGCAAGUUUGCAGAUGACACCAAGCUGGGAGGAGUAGUAGAUAUGCUGGAAAGUAGGGCUAGGAUUCAGUGACCUAGACAAAUGAGAUUCGGCCAAAAGGAAUCUCAUGAGAUUCAACAAGGACAAGUGCAAAGUCCUGCACUUAGGACAGAACAAGCCCAUACACCAGUACAGGCUGGGGGCUGGCUGGCUGGAUAGUAGCUCUGCAGAAAAGGACCUGAGGGUUACAAUGGACAAUAAGCUGAAUAUGAGCCAGCAGUGUACCCUUGUUGCCAAGAAGGCUAACACCAUACUGGGCUGCAUUGGUAGGGGGGUCGCCGGCAGGUCAAGAAAAGUGAUUAUUCCCCUCUAUUCAGAGUGGUGAGGCCACAUCUGGACUACUGUGUUCAGUUUUGCACCCCCCUCUCCCCCAGUACAGAAAGGAUGUGAACAAAUUGGAGAGAAUCCAGAGGAAGGCAACAAAAAUGGUUUGGGGACUGGGGCACAUGACUUAUGAGGAGAGGCUGAGGGAACUGGGCUUAUUUAGCCUAGAGAAGAGGAGACUGAGAGGUUUUAAUAGCAGCCUUCAACUACCUGAAGGGAGGUUCAAAAGAGGAUGGAGCUAGACUGUUCUUAGUGGUGGCAGAUGACAGAAUAAGGAGCAAUGGUCUCAAGUUGCAGCAAGGGAAGUUUAGGUUAGAUAUUAGGAAGAAUGUUUUCACUAGGAGGAUAGUAAAACACUGGAACAGGUCACCCAGAGAGGUGGUAGAAGCUCCAUCCUUGGAAGUUUUUAAGACCUGGCUAGACAAAACUUUGGUUGGGAUGAUCUAGUUGGGGAUGAUCCUGCUUUGAGCAGGGGGUUGGACUAGAUGACCUCCUGAGAUCCCUGCCAACCCAAAUUGUCUAUUAUUUUACGACAAUGAUAUAUUGAGACAGAGCAUCAUGUUCAACCCCUGCAAUGCCUAAGGCAGUUUCUGUGCCUUCUUUCUCUUCCACAGGACAACUCAAGGAGAAUUUUUGUUCCCAUUUAGCUCAGUGUUUAAGUUUUCUUGUACGGUUAGAGUUCCUCCAUCAAUAUAUGACUUUAACAAUAUAUUCAGCCUAUUGUACACACAGUUCCUGCUCCUUUUGUACCUCACCUGUUUUAGUCACCGCUAGCUUCCUUUGCUUAGCAACAUCACUCACACUUAAAUUAUAACAGUGCGUCACUUCAUGUUAACAGGGCUGACAUUUCACUGGAAGAGCUCUUUUUGUGAAUUUGCACACAAUAUGUUGUGUGCAUCCUUAGCAGUAAAUAAGGCUGGGAGCACAACAGGGCAUCAGCAGCAGAUAACAUCCAAUCAAGAGAGCAUAUGAGGCCAUACAGCUAUCCAGACUAUGUUAAACUAAGUUUCCAGAGCUGAAGCAGGAAAUAAUCUGAUAUCUCUUGAAUGGUCACUGAGAUUAUUGUUUCAUCAAGAAAACAAAGCCUCUCAAGCAGUAGGUGUGCAAAAGCAUUUCUUUUUACCUUAGCUGCCAGUCAGUUUUUCUCUCCGGUACUUUGGCUCACACUAACAUUUUGAUCGUAAAGGUUAUUAUUAUUAAAGAGACCUUUACUAAUAUCAGAAAAUGCAAUUCGCAAAGCAAUUGUUCCUUGGUGAAAGGGCCACUUUACUUGCUGCUUAUUAUUUCCAUAACCAACACGAAUGUUAUAAAAAGACUGUAAUUUUGUUCUUUUCCAAGCCUAGGACAGGAGACUAGAAAAUAGAUUUGAUUUGGCCUCAAGCAGGUAGUCAUAAGGGAAACAGAGCUUUUGUGAUUAUAGUAAGGGUUAGGUAUCAGUGUAAAAGAUUCAUCUCUUGGAUUUAUAUAACUGCAUAAGAAUCUCAAGGCAUCGGGGGAAUAAUUUUUUAAAUCUUGAGAUUGGCUUCAAAAUGAUGAGAUUUUAAAAAAUGGUUUUGGAGGCCUGAAUUAAGAUAUUUACCAUGUCACAAAGCUAACAGAUCAGUACUCAUGUCCACACUACCUUGGUCAGUUGCUUUGAAGUGGUGACUAAUGGUGAAAGGCUCCAUUUCAGAUUAGAACAGUAAUUUCCUGAACCAGACAAUGGCUACUAUUUGUGUAGUGCAAGGAUAAAGGAAGUUGUUUGCCUUCUCCAUCUUUAUUUCAUUGGAAAUAAAUAUAAAAAGACCUGUUCAGUGUAAAAAGACCUGUUCAGUGUACUGAUUGCUUUUAGUGCGAACACAUUUGUGUGUAUUGUGUAUUAUAUGAAUUUCUCUGUUUCUUCUUUCAAUUCUCCCCAUCCCUUUCAAUAUAGCUUUACAGCUUCCAUAAUCUCUUGCUACACAGGGCAUAUGGGAUCAUUUCCUAAGGGAGUUAAAAGAAGCCUUAUUGAUUCUGAGCCAGAUUCUGGCUAGCCUCUGGAGAGAUGAGCAAAGCGUAAAGAAGCACCAACUGCUGUUUGCCUCCAAGCACAUCUUAUAGUUCUCUUGAAGAUAACAGAAUCUAUUUCAUAGUCACUUGCAAGUAGCCAAGAUAAUACUCAUAGUGCUGGUAACUGCCUAUUUUGACAGGGUGACCUGCCAGUACCCUGAUGGCUAUCAAAAUCACAGAAACUAGAUCUGAAACGUUACAGCUAGUUUCAGCUAUAAUUGUAAAGACUCUCUGAAAACUAAGGAACCUUCAUCACUGAAAUUAAUGGGCCCUUUGCCAAUAGGUUCAUUGUAUACAAGCUGAGACCCAAACCUUUUCAACAAUUAAUUUUCACUUAUUCCCCACAUUUGCCAAAACCUUGAUUAGACUCCCUAAUCAGUAUUUUUCAGAUAGUUUUCAGUUUAACCCUAACAAGAAUGGCAUGAGGAAAGAUGUGCAGAAGAUGUUAUAUACUAUGUACGUUCAAGCUCACUCAUUUAGACUCCUAGUCAUUUCUGAUAGUGCAUUUCAAGAAAGGAGUGACUGGAGUGUAUAAAAGAAACAUAAAUCUCUGGGGAGAACAUCCAGGAGCUCAUCUGCCUCUUUCUUCUGGUUAUUAUGUUACAUUGCCACAGUUCAUACUGAAUAAAGAAGAACCCUUCUCUGUCUAAGGUUAUUUGCUCAGCACCAAUGAACAUAUUUCAAAACAUUGACAAAGCUGCUAUUGUAUAGGGCACUGGUCUCUCCAUAAGAUCAAUAAACUUCAGAUACGAAAUCCACUCUUCCAUAAAAAAUUCUUUCUAUAGAUGGCAUGACAAUGAUUUAGUUCUGCUUUAGUUACAGAGCUCUGUAGGAUUUGCUGAGUAGCUCACUUGGGCUCUUUUGAAAAUUCCAGCUUUAUUCUUUACAGCAUUGAUUUUGGUUAAUAUUUGCCUGCUAGCUUAGCAAUAAAUAUUUCUACUAUUUAUACUACCCUGGGUUCAUCUACAUGUGAUGCUAUAUCACCAUAGCAACACACUAUAGUGAUGCAGUACCAGCAGUCACAACCUCUGACGCCAUCCAUUCUAGCACAUUGCUAUAUCGACAUAGCAGCUGAAAAUAACUAUACGCGAUAAAAAAAAUACUAAAUGAUGGUGCAAUAACAAAGGCACCAUAAGGACACUUGCAGAUGCGCCCACUGUUGAUCAGUUUCAUGUACAGUAAAAGCUGUGUUAUCCAGCCCUUCAUUAAUCGGCAUGCCAGUCAACACAGCAAAAGUGAAAUCGGAAGUCCCACUUCAGGCCAUGGCGAAUUUAUUGAUAAAUUAAUAAAGUUUACAUGAAAUCCAAUAUGACUGGAAGGGACUGUUCUCUCUAGGAUGUACAGGAGAGGGGUGGGAGGGGAGGCGCUGUGCCUGUCCCCCGGCACAUGGAUGCACUGGAUACAGCAGGAGGCAGGCAAAGGUAACUGGCAUAUUUGGUUAUCUGGCACCCCCCCAUUCCCCAUGGGUGCUGGAUAACAGACCUUUUGCUGUACUAUGGUUAAUGCACUUUAUUGAGGUAGUGCUAUUUCAUAUACUGAUAUUUUAAUACAUACAAUCUACAACUGUUUGAUUUUCAACCAGGGUGCCAUGAUUUCAGAGAUUUCAAAUAGUGUGAAUCCAUAAUGUCAAAAACACUCUGGCCUACUGUGGUCUUUCUGAGUUCUUUGCAACAGAAGAAUUGCUCUAUUAUAUGGGUGCCCCAAUAAAGAUUUUUUGAGCUGA